AAUUGUUGAAAUUUUUGCGUCAACGAAACGAUUUAUUUUUGAAAAGUCGACGUUGAAGUGGAAAACAUUAAUUUUAUGGAGAAAUUUUUGAGAUAAAUUUGAUUGAAGGAAACAGAACUUUUUGAGAAUCGAAUUUCUUUUUAUUUUAUUGGAAUAACGAGAGGUUUUGGUUUCUUAUCAACCACAAGUAUUCUUUUUCCGUAAAUUCGUUGGUGCAGUCGAAAACCAAAAUUGUUAUUGUGAUUGAAUAUGUGGUUAUGGUAAUCAAGACGUCUCUACGUUAUUUUCAAGUUAAUUAUAAUUGAACUGAGAAAUUAAUGUGGCGAAUCAGAGAGGAUCUUGUUACGUGUAAAAUACUUUGAGAUUCUAAUGAGAUAUCGUCAAGUUGGGAGAACUUUAUAUUUCUUCCCCAGAACAACAAAAUAUUCAUUAACAAUAACGUAAUCACAGAUAACGUUGGAGAUCAUUAUUGGGUUUUAAAAAAAUCAAUUUUUUCAUUCUUCUGGUGAAUUUAUAUGACUCGACUCCAAAAGGUGUUUUAUUUGAUUCAAGUAAAUAUAACUCGAUACCAAUGGACAAAGUCGUAGGAGGGGAGCGCCCCAGGGUGUGGUGAGGCCCUCGAUUUUUUUUUUCUCGUCUUCUUUUUCACAACCCCGAUGGAGAAAAAGGAUACCCACUACCUUCCCCCUCCUGGGCACUGCCUGCUGCAGUCAUGCGACUCUUUCCACCAAAAAUCCGAGGAAAAUGUCGUAGUGGGGACGGGCUUUAUGUUCGGCCUUUUUUUUUCAUGAAAAUUCUUGCAGGUGUUUCACAUGGGGCCCCACCACCACACAAUGAAGAAUAAAAUGACGCCGAAUCAAGUGCGAGUGUUUCGUCAUUUUGAUCAAAUAUUUGGAAAUUUCGGGGGAAUUAGGUCUCCCUUAGGCGACUCGAACGUUCUUCACUCGAUCUCUUCUCGAAAUAUUUUUUUAAGUCUAAAUUACCGAACAAUUUAUCUUCACUAAUUCCUCUAAUUUUGGGUACCUUAUAAAUUUGAUUUUGUAAUUAAUUAAAAUUAUUGUUAUGUAAUUUUUAGUUGUGAUAAAAAGAACGAAAACAAUGAGGAACACAAAAAUAUUUGUUUCUGAUAAAUUCGAAAUUAGUUGAUUACAUUAAUUAAUUUUAUUAAUUAAUUAGUAUUUAAUUAUUCGUCAGUUAUCAUUGAAAAUGUCGAAUGAUUCCUCAUAUAAUUUCCCGCUGACCGGAGUAAUUUCCCUCGUCAAAAUUACCGCAACAUAAUUUCCUGUAAAUAUUAUUUAUUUCUCAACAAAUUCAGCAACAAAAUUCCCAAAAAAAAAAUUGAUUUGCAAUUUUGUUGUUAACAAUUUGAAAACAACGGAAAGUCGGAUGAUAUUCCGAGGGAGACAGACCCCACAUCAUUAAUUAUUAAUUAAUUAUUAAUUAAUUAUUGAAUAAUUCCUGAUCAUUGAUUCAAAUCUUUAUAAUUUCCUUUGGUAAUUGUGAUUAUUCUAUUUACACUUAUUUAAAAAUAUGAUCUGAAAUGCCUUCAGUUCACGUCUGACAGUGGUACCAUAAACUCAUCAUCAUACCCUUGAAAUUAAUUAAAUCAUUAAUUAAAUCUGAAGGUGGUGAGCACGUGAUGUUGGACCCUUUCAUGUGCCCCUUCCAAUCACAUAAAAAGUCUCCAAUUCGAAGAUGUCCUCAAUACAAUAAAACCAAAUUUACUGGUUAAACAUACACUAAAAACCAUCAACAUCAACUCAAAAAUAAAGUAAUGACUUUUUCAAAAUUUUUAAUAAUUAUUUUGUGCUAAAAAUGACUCGACUCCAAGAGCUGUUUCACUUAAUUAACGUAAACACAGCUCCCAGGGAAACGAUCCACAUUCCCCAUAAGGUCUAACAUACCUCAAAUGACUGUUAGUAAUUUCCACUUAUGUCAAAAAAAAAAAUGAACAAAAAUAAUUUUUAAUGAGUGUAAAUUAAUAAUUGAAAUAAGGACAUUUGUUUUUGUUUAUAUAGAGCUAUAUGUAUAUGUGAAUAUCAAAGUUAAAAUAGAAGAGAUUUUUAAGAGAGGCUGGGGAGGAUGUAAAACAAAGAAGAAUUUGUGACAUCAAAAAAAAUAAAUAUUAAUAAUAAUAAUAAUAAUUGAAAUACUCCGAAUGUUGUUUUCUUCGUAUUUG